rfam:Felis catus isolate Cinnamon breed Abyssinian chromosome E2, whole genome shotgun sequence.
GCCUGGCUGGCUCAGUCAGUAGAGCAUGUGACUCUUGAUCUCAGGGUUGUGAGUUCAAGCCUCACACUGGAUG